GACGCGCAGCUCUCUCUGGUACCACCCCCUUCCCCAUUUCGGUCUCUCUCUCCUUAUUUCUCCUUCUCUUGCAGUGUGAUGUGUGGUCAUAUGACAGGGUCUGAAUACCAACACACUCGACAUGAGCGAGGAGGCGUAAACCGGAGAAAACAAGUGGCUAAGUGUGUGUCGCGGACACUGAGAGAGCGCGAGCUGUUACUGGGGAACGCCUAUCUGACUGAAACUGCGGAGAAGAACAUUAGUUUAAAGCAACGGGGGACACUAACUAACUAACUGUAACUAUAGUUUAGGCAUAUCCAACCCAGCGAAGUUAAAAUAUAUAUAUAUUUACAAAUCGCAUCGUGUUAUUGCUUUCCCCUUUUCUGAGCGGUGUGUGCCCAAAUCUCAGAAUCGGAGGAGGCUGGGGCUUGAGGAAGCAGUUUGGACAUACUUUUAUUUUAAAGUUAUCAUUUUUUUUGUUAAGCGUCAUUCUAGAGCGUCAGCCCUGAUUUUGGCUGGUAAACUUGAGUUGUUAGUUUGACAAUGGUCGGUGAGUUGAAUGAGCAGGUCCGGGAAAGACCCAGACCAAGGCCCAGCCCGGACUACCUGAUGCAGUUGAUGACAGACCGGAAGGUGAUGAGCUCGCUGCCCAACUUCACUGGCAUCUUCACUCACCUGGAGCGGCUCUUAGACGAAGAGAUAGGUAGAGUGCGCAAGGACAUGUAUAACGACUCAAUGAAUGGCGGUGUGGCUGCCGAGGGGCGGGACUCCGAGGAGCUGCCUGAUGGGAUUGGUCCAGUGGCUCAGCUGCAGGAGAAGCUCUACGUGCCCGUUAAAGAGUACCCCGACUUUAACUUUGUAGGUAGGAUACUGGGUCCAAGGGGCCUAACAGCCAAACAGCUGGAGGUGGAGAUGGGCUGUAAGAUCAUGGUACGAGGAAAAGGAUCCAUGAGAGACAAGAAGAAGGAAGAGCUGAACAGAGGGAAACCUAACUGGGAACACCUAAGUGAGGAACUUCAUGUUCUCAUCACAGUGGAAGACUCACACAACAGAGCUCAGAUCAAACUACAAAGAGCUACCGCAGAGGUCAAGAAACUGCUCGUACCAGCUGCUGAUGGAGAGGACAGUCUAAAAAAGAUGCAGCUAAUGGAGCUCGCCAUUCUCAACGGAACCUACAGAGACGCCAACAUCAAGCAACCCACUAUGGCCUUCUCCCUAGCCUCCUCUCAGCAGCCUCGGCUCAUCUCCAGCCCCUCCCCUGUCAUGCAGCAGGCUAUGCGGAGCCCCGCCCCUGGUCAACAGCCCAACCUCAUGCCUCACCUGAUUCGUCAGAUCCAGAGUCAGCAGGCCCUCAUGCAAGGAGCCAAUCAGCACGCAGCACUGAUGCAGCAAUCACCUGAAUCAGGAGGGUUCUUCUACGCUCCCUAUGAAUAUUCCCCCUACACCCUAACUCCAUCUAUACUAGAAUACCCCAUGGACACUACUGGUGUACUAGGUAUGGCUUUCCAAACCAAAGGCUGAGAGAUGAACUCUCUCCUACACAUGGACCUCUCACACACACACACACACACACACACACACACACACACACACACACACACACACACACACACACACACACACACACACACACACACACACACACACACACACACACACACACACACACACACACACACACACACACACACAGGCUUAUCUGAAAUGGGCCUCUUGUCUUCUUAAUGAUUCUGUCACUGUUUGAUGAUGUCACUGUUUGAUGGUGUCACUGUUAACCUCCUGUGUUUUGGUGAUGUGGUUGCGCGGUGAGCAGGAGCGAUGACGGCUCAGGUGCAACGCCACAAUAUGAGAGCCCAUCCUUACCAAAGAGUAGUGAACACCGACAGAGGUCAGUUAGAUCACCAGACUGUCUGCCACGGCAACUAAUCCCUGACCUCUGCCCACUGAUGACCCACCCGUCUCCGCCCGUGCCUCGCUCGUUGCCAUGCUCUGGACAGCAGCCACGCCCCUCCCCCAGAGUCACCUCUGCCUAACCAACCAGAGACCAGCGGCCAUGGUAACGAACCUUCAGGACCCAAUCAGGACCCAGUCACCAGCCACACCCACCCAAACACUACACUAUCAAGCCAUGUGCCCCUUUUAAAGGAAACCCCACAGCCAAACCACCCAACCACAACCCCCUUUAACCAAACCUCCCCAAUCUGCACUGGUCAGAUAACCUGGCUCUAUUCCUUGCCCUGCACUGAGUCGAUGUGGAGCUAUAAUAUUAUAAUAAUUCAAUAAUCCAAAUAAUAACAGUCAUAUGUGUGAUCAUAAUUAUACUUGUCGAGCACACUGACCCUCCACGACCACUAGUCUGACUGUCCCUGUUCUCAAAACGUCACUGUCACACAAAACGUUACUUAGAUCGGGUUUACCAGGUCACACCAGUUUCACACGAUGUCCUCUCUAAAAGACUAGAGUCUCGACUGUUGCACCAUGCCUGCCUUUCGACAGUGAGCUGAGCCGAUCUAAUGUGUAAGAUCUAAGCUCUCCAGGUAUAGUCUCAACCACAACGUCACAGUAUUAUAGAAAUGCGGAGAACCAAGUGCCUUUUAGUUAUUUAAAUAGAUCUGUUACAGACCAGCCUUUUUAUGAAGGCUUUCUAACCUCCAUGAAAGAGGAAUAACCUGACGCCAUCUUUUCUAUCUCUCAACACAGUGAAAGAGAUGUGUAUUUUACAGAAACCAUCUCAAUGUUGUGAUUUAACAUAAACCCACAUGUCUUCUGGGUUUAGAGUGAAGUGCCAAAGGGUUUGUUCCUUCCGUCUGUGCAGCAGGACCUUCUCAGAACAGUAUUAAUGUUGUGUUGUUUAUUUUAUUUUGGGGAGUGGUGUUUAUGUAUUUGUGUGUGUGUGUGUCUGCCUUUGAGAACACACUCUAUCGUAUAGUGUUGUGUUAUUAGAUGUGUGUGUGUGUGUUACAUAUUUGAGCCCCUAACUAGCCUCUUGCCAAGCGGUUGUUUUUACUCCACACAAACCGUCUCCUUCAAGACAAAACAUGAACAAUACUGUACAACAUCUGUAACAUCUGUUUUAUAAUGCAAUUUUAUAUUAUAUUUUUUAUGUGAGAAAUAACAUUAAAUUAUGUUUUCAGAUAAGAACAGUA